GAUGAACGCUGGCGGCGUGCCUAAUACAUGCAAGUCGAGCGAAUGGAUUAAGAGCUUGCUCUUAUGAAGUUAGCGGCGGACGGGUGAGUAACACGUGGGUAACCUGCCCAUAAGACUGGGAUAACUCCGGGAAACCGGGGCUAAUACCGGAUAACAUUUUGAACCGCAUGGUUCGAAAUUGAAAGGCGGCUUCGGCUGUCACUUAUGGAUGGACCCGCGUCGCAUUAGCUAGUUGGUGAGGUAACGGCUCACCAAGGCAACGAUGCGUAGCCGACCUGAGGAGGGGAGGGGCCACACUGGGACUGGGACACGGCCAAGACCCCUACGGGAGGCAGCAGUAGGGAAUCUUCCGCAAUGGACGAAAGUCUGGCGGAGCAACGCCGCGUGAGUGAUGAAGGCUUUCGGGUCGUAAAACUCUGUUGUUAGGGAAGAACAAGUGCUAGUUGAAUAAGCUGGCACCUUGACGGUACCUAACCAGAAAGCCACGGCUAACUACGUGCCAGCCGCCGCAGUAA
rnacentral:rRNA from 1 species